ensembl:lncRNA
AUGCCGUUCCAGUUUGCAAUUUAUUACUUAUAUGAUAAGUCAUUAAAAGUGGAGAGUACAUCGAUCCUUGUAGCUAAUAUAGACCAGCAUAGUCAAGUUACGUCAAAACCAGACCUUGAUGGAGACGACAAUUGGCUAGAAAUAAAGUGGCCUUCACGUAAAGAACCAGAGAAGACGGUGCCUGCAAAAGUCCUGCUGUUUGGAGAUUCGUUCAAAGACCUCGUCAUGAAGAAAAACUUACUACUUUUGGGAAAGGACAUAUGGAAAAAGGAUGAAAGCAGGGGUGUUCGUGUCAAAAAGAAAAUAUUGGACACCAGCAACGAGGUGGAGGCUAAAAAAGCCAGGCUGGAAAAGCUAGUAAACACUAAGAAGGCUGCCAGACCCCUGGCAUUCACUUCCGAUCAUCAUAUCAGUUCUGAAGAUGCUACAAACAUAGCGAGCCCACUCCGUCCAGAUCAUCACACCAGUUCUGAUGAUGCUACAACCAUAGGGAGUCCUGAAAUGGUGAGUCAUAUUUUUUGUUUUAUUUUUUUGAUCUAUGUACUGUGCUGUACACAAAUUGUUUCUCUCUUGAUUUUCACACAACUCUUAUAA